GCUACUAAAGGAUAACAGUCAUCCGUUGGUCUUAGGAACCAAAAACUCUUGGUGCAAAUCCAAGUAGUAGCU
rnacentral:tRNA from 3 species